UUAGAGUUUGAUCCUGGCUCAGGAUGACCCCUUGCGGCAGGCUUAAUACAUGCAAGUUGAACGAGAUUUACUUUUGUAGCAAUACUUAGGUAAUGAAAGUGGCGCACGGGUGCGUAACACGUAUGCAACCUACCCUUAACAGGGGAAUAACAAAGAGAAAUUUCUGCUAAUACCCCAUUGUAUUUUUAAUUGGCAUCAAUUUUAAAUUAAAGCUCCGGCGGUUAAGGAUGGGCAUGCGUCCCAUUAGCUAGUUGGUGAGGUAAUGGCUUACCAAGGCAACGAUGGGUAGGGGUUCUGAGAGGAAGGUCCCCCACACUGGUACUGAGACACGGACCACACUCCUACGGGAGGCAGCAGUAAGGAAUAUUGGUCAAUGGGCGCAAGCCUGAACCAGCCAUGCCGCGUGCAAGAAGACAGCCUUAUGGGUUGUAAACUGCUUUUAUUAUAAAAAAAUUUGGUGUACGUGUACACCAUUGAUAGUAUAUUUUGAAUAAGCAUCGGCUAACUCCGUGCCAGCAGCCGCGGUAAUACGGAGGAUGCGAGCGUUAUCCGGAUUUAUUGGGUUUAAAGGGUGCGCAGGCUGUUAAUUAAGUCAGUGGAGAAAUCCAGUAACUUAACUACUGAUGUGCCAUUGAUACUGGUUAACUAAAAAACAAACGACGUGGGCGGAAUGCGACAUGUAGCGAUGAAAUGCUUAAAAAUGUCACAAACCCCCGAAAGCGAAGGCACCUCACGAGGAUGUUAUUGACGCUCAGCCCGAAAGCGGGGGAUCAAACAGGAUUAGAUACCCUGGUAGUCCACGCCCUAAACUAUGAUUACUCGUUGUUAGCUCAAUUGGGAGUUAGUGGCUAAGGGAAACCUAUAAGUAAUCCACCUGGGGAGUACGAUCGCAAGGUUGAAACUCAAAGGAAUUGACGGGGGCCCGCACAAGCGGAGGAGCAUGUGGUUUAAUUCGAUGAUACGCGAGGAACCUUACCUGGGCUCGAACGGUUAAAGACUUAAUGUGAAAGCAUUAUUCUAUUUAUAGCUUCAAUCGAGGUGCUGCAUGGUUGUCGUCAGCUCGUGCCGUGAGGUGUUAGGUUAAGUCCUGCAACGAGCGCAACCCUUACUUUUAGUUGCCAGCAUGUUAUGAUGGGGACUCUAGAAGAACUGCCGGCGCAAGCCGUGAGGAAGGUGGGGAUGACGUCAAAUCAGCACGGCCCUUAUGUCCAGGGCUACACACGUGCUACAAUGGUCGACACAGAGGGCAGCUACUUGGUGACAAGAUGCGAAUCUCUAAAUUCGAUCUCAGUUCGGAUCGAAGUCUGCAACUCGACUUCGUGAAGUUGGAUUCGCUAGUAAUCGCACAUCAGCCAUGGUGCGGUGAAUACGUUCCCGGGCCUUGUACACACCGCCCGUCA
rnacentral:rRNA from 1 species